GCCCGAUGCAGGGCUCAAUCCCAUGAACCAUGAGAUCAUGACCUGAGCCAAAAUCGAGUUGGAUGCUUAACUGACUGAGCCACCCAGGCACCCUGAGAAAUUUCUGUUUUUAAGGGCUCAGGUGAUUAGAUCAUGCCCACUAGGUAAUCCAGGGUGAUCUCCAUAUCUCAAGGUCCAUAACCUUAAUCACAGCUGCAGAGCCCCUUCACCUCGGGACCUAGAUUAGUGUUUGAUUGAAUAACCAGGGGACAAGAAUCUGGGGAGGGUAUCUUGAGAUUCCUGACAACCACUCCUAUUUAACAUACUUAAUCCACAGAUAAGAGUCUGUAUCAUCAUUUUUUGGUCUUCACAUGUUCAGAGAGUAGGAUCCUCUUUGAGGCAAAGAGAAUUAAAUCCUCACAUGAUUCAGCACUGCCACAUUUGUAAACAGGGUGGGUGGGUGAGGGGAGAGUGAAGAAAAUGGAACAAACUGGCAUUAUGACAUGUUUAUCUCAUGGAGUCUUCAUCACAGCCCUAGGAAGUGAGCAUUUGUCACCUCGCUUGAAGAAUGACAAUGGGAAAUAGAAGAUUUUGCUCAGAGUUUGCACAGCUAGCCCAAUCCUGUCCAUCCCAGCUUUUCCACAGAACCUUCACCAGCCUUCCAGCCCAGAAUCUCUCCUCCUACAGAAUACCUCAGAAGUUUAUUUAUGACACUUUCUUCCAUCACCUUUGAAUCCAGAGCAUAAGAAACCCCCUUCAAGAGGCCUUUCCUGAUUCCCUUGGGCCCGGAUCAGAAGCAGUCAGGCCUGGAUGUCUAAGCUGUAAGGAAUAAAGGUUCACUUAUAAAGGGUC